CACGUUCAACAUAGGUCGUUAUGGCUUGCCAUGGUGACUCGGUCGGAGAAACUGUGGUAUAUGGGACCCCUCUAUCAUGAAGUUCAUUUACUUGGUCAUCUGAGUCGAAUGAGACACUGCCAAUAUCAGUGGCUUGAUGAUCUUUAACAGAUUGUGCACAAGUAUAGUUAUCACUGUCUUUGAGUUAAUCCAUAAUUUUUAUUCUUGAAAGUGUAGCAUGCCUCAAGCACAACCUAAUUCCUGGAAAACCUUUUGCCCGGCGUGAGCAAAGCUCACUAUCACUAACCAUUGAAGUUUUCAGCUUUUUAUACCUGUCACUGUCAGAAAAUUCAUUGUCAUCAUUCUUGCGUUUAGAUGUCCGGGAGUCCUCAACCUCUUUAACACCUUCAUCGGGUAGGCAUGGUGCAAUAGAUAGUUCUCCUGAAGAAAGCAGAGCAAGAAGGUGGUAAACAUCUCCACACUGCAAAUCCGUUGUAAGAUCCACCCCCUCAGCAAUCAAUUCCUUCUCUCUUUCACAAAGCCAGCUAGCAAACUUAGCAGCUCUUUUUCCGGUAUCACUUGGGAAUGGAGAAAAUUCUAUACAAUUCAAGAAGGUUUGAGAAAGGACAAAAGGACAAUUGGAAUGGCCCCCAAUCAAAACUUUUUUCUCCCUGAGGUAGUUGAAAGCAGCAAAGAGAUCAUGCUCAGAAUAGCGCCUUAAAGUUUCAGCAAGCAAGGUUGGCACAAGUGGAGACUUUGAGCUACAGAGAAAUAUGAGCUUAAAUAGCUCUGCAGCAUUAGCAACUGCUGCUGAUUCAUAU
rnacentral:lncRNA from 1 species